rnacentral:lncRNA from 1 species
AAUAAGGGUGUGUUUGGUUCCACGUAAAACUGGAAAAAAAAAUUUCGGUGGAAAAAAGUUUUACGUUGUUUAGUGAUUGAUUUGUAGGAAAUGAAAAAUAGUUUUUCAUAUAAAAAACUAUUUAAUAUAUUUUUUAUUUUAUAUAUAAUAAUAGAUAAUAAUUAAUAUAUUAUAUAUAUUAUUAUUAUUAUAAUUUUUCUAUAUAGAUUAAAUAUAUUUAAAAUACACACUGGCAGAGUGCACGUGCAAUGCAAGUUAUAUAUUUAAAUUUUUUUUUUUAAAUAAUUAAGAUCGGACAUGAUUAAUAUGUAAUAUAUAAUUUUUAAAUAAAUUAUUUGUGAAUAUUUAUAAUUUAAUAAUUUUAUUAUAUUUGAAUAAAAUAGUAAAAAAAUUAUUGUCCAAUUGAUCAUAUAGAUAAAUUAAAUUUUAGAU